rnacentral:rRNA from 1 species
UACGUAGGGGGCAAGCGCUGUCCGGAAUCAUUGGGCGUAAAGAGCGUGUAGGCGGUCCGGUAAGUCGGUUGUGAAAGUCCAGGGCUCAACCCUGGGAUGCCGACCGAUACUGUCGGACUAGAGUUCGGAAGAGGCGAGUGGAAUUCCCGGUGUAGCGGUGAAAUGCGCAGAUAUCGGGAGGAACACCUAUGGCGAAGGCAGCUCGCUGGGACGUUACUGACGCUGAGACGCGAAAGCGUGGGGAGCAAACAGG